rnacentral:lncRNA from 1 species
AGGUGUUCUUCUGGAAAGGAGACUUGCCCCCCAGUGCUACUUACGCGCAGAGUCAAGAAAAAUGUUUUCUCGCCGAGCGCGCGUUCAUUCACAGAAUGCUCUCGCCUCACUGCGCGAUUGCGUUCUCGGUUCGCUGGUCUACAGCGAAAAAACCCUAAGCGUGAACUCGGCCUGGGCAACGAUGAGUCCAAAACCCUUGGCCUUUUGCAUGAGGGGUGUAGGGCCAGACCAGGAGGCGGACAAAGCCAAGCAAAUCCGGAGCUCCGGGACAGAGCAGACUUUUGCACCUCUCGGGGAAGCAUGUCCUCCGGCCAGCGGACCCCGGCUCCGCGCCCAGGCGGGCGGCGCAGUUGCGGCUUGCUGAAUUUGACACAAAUUCAGUGUCAUUUCCUUUGAGAACUUAAAUUGAACUAAUUGGGUUUGAGAUACUAAACUAACGCCUGACCUCAUCUGAAACCUACGGAUGUAUUUUUCACCCAAGAAACUUCAAAUUUCAACAAGACCCUUUGUGCUGAAUGGGCAAGUGAGCAUUCACAGACCUCGUCAUGUUACACGCAAGCCAGUGUAGCACCCUGGAUCAUCUUCUGUACAGGACUACAGGUUGUGCAAACCAUAGCCAGUUCCUUUCUAUUUCCC